rnacentral:lncRNA from 1 species
AGAGAUGUGAAAACUGGAAGAGAAACAGGAAGUACCUCCAGGAUUCACCUAAACAGAUGCUGCAGUUUCCAUCAAACUACAGGCCACCCCAGCAUCUUAGUGGCUUCUAUAGGUUGUCCUGAGAGAGCCACGAGGCCAGGGCCCUUGAAGGAUUCCCAGAUACCAGCUGCUCCUCCAGACACCAAUUCCUCCCUCCACCUUUCUGUGUCCGUCCCAGACCCAGGCAGCCCAGGACUGGUAUCCUUCUAAGAAGAGGAAGGGACAUCAGAGGAGAGGCCAGGUGAGGACACUAUGGGAACGCAGCCACCUGCAAGCCAAGGAGAGGGGCCUCGGGAGAAACCAGCCCUGCUGACGCCCUGAGCUCCUUGCAAUUCCAGCCUUCUAGACUGUGAGAAAAUACGCUUGUGUUAUUUAA